GGAGAGAUGCGAGAGUGGUUGAAUCGGGCGGUCUCGAAAACCGUUGUACCGCAAGGUACCGGGGGUUCGAAUCCCCCUCUCUCCG
rnacentral:tRNA from 1 species